AAAGUUCAGCGACUCCACUUGCCUCUCCUCUCAUUUCUUUCGGAAAGGGGAAACCAGACGACCCAGCGGCCACGGGACGAGUCGCCCCAACUCAACCCCAGCAGGACGCUGGAGGGGCCUCCCUUGCCCACCUCUCUUCGCUGGCACUGGCCUCCUGCACCCGGGUCUGCAGUCCCUCCGCCAUCUCACAAGUGUGCAGCCGCUAGGCCUGGGGGAUCCGAAUGACUGGGGCUGGAUAGGAAUGCCUUCGUGUUUCCCAAGACCCCCGGGCCUGCUCCACAAAGUUUGAAGGGUGGGUACACCCCGACCCAGGAGCUCAGAGAUGCCCGGGAAGACGGGGGGCCCGAAUGGAAGCAGAAAAACACUUAUGGCCGCUGGGAAGUUGGGAGAGCCAGGCUGGGACUCCGGCAGGCCCAGGGAAAGUUCCCCUUCUAGGCUCUUUAUUAAAAAAUUUAAAAGGAGGAGUUGAGGCGCCUUGAAUUUUCCUUCGCGAGUUUGGAGACCAGCCGAUUUUUCACGAAGCAAGCAAAGACCGCGGUCCCGGAUCCUGCAACAUAUACCUCAUUUUCUCCAGACUCUGCUUUUUCAUUUUUCUCCCUUAGGCCUCUCCACUUGCCCGAGCUCUCAGCCACCAGGAGACAGACGGAAGGGGCUUCUGGGCUGUGUUGGGAGCGGGCAUUGUCCCCUACCCACUCCUGCACAGUUUCCCAAAGUCCAGCCACCUCCGACCCUCCUUGGGGGAAAAAAUACCAGUACCCAGACACCUCUGCACCCUGUUAUAUGACUGGGCUUGCUUCAGGAAUAUCUUACAAAGAAGAAGGAGGAGGAGGAGGAACGGCUUGGAGUCAUGUUUACAUCUAGUUCUACUGAUCCGUUCACAUCUGGAGAGUUUAUUUAUAACUCCCUCUAUAACUCUCUGUUUGGAGGCACUGGUGGCUCUACUGACAGACUGAUGUCUAGGAAAUAUUGCUCUAUGUCUAAUGGUACCUAAAUGUGCUGUGGUUGUAUUUACAGAUUUACGUUUGAGGGAAAUAUAAUUAUUUCCAUUGUAUUUGUGCA
rnacentral:lncRNA from 1 species